rnacentral:rRNA from 1 species
AGCCUGAUCCAGCCAUACCGCGUGGGUGAAGAAGGCCUUCGGGUUGUAAAGCCCUUUUGUUGGGAAAGAAAAGCAUUCGGUUAAUACCCGGGUGUUCUGACGGUACCCAAAGAAUAAGCACCGGCUAACUUCGUGCCAGCAGCCGCGGUAAUACGAAGGGUGCAAGCGUUACUCGGAAUUACUGGGCGUAAAGCGUGCGUAGGUGGUUGUUUAAGUCCGUUGUGAAAGCCCUGGGCUCAACCUGGGAAUUGCAGUGGAUACUGGGCAACUAGAGUGUGGUAGAGGAUAGUGGAAUUUCCGGUGUAGCAGUGAAAUGCGUAGAGAUCGGAAGGAACAUCUGUGGCGAAGGCGACUAUCUGGGCCAACACUGACACUGAGGCACGAAAGCGUGGGGAGCAAACAGGAUUAGAUACCCUGGUAGUCCACGCCCUAAACGAUGCGAACUGGAUGUUGGGUUCAACUUGGAACCCAGUAUCGAAGCUAACGCGUUAAGUUCGCCGCCUGGGGAGUACGGUCGCAAGACUGAAACUCAAAGGAAUUGACGGGGGCCCGCACAAGCGGUGGAGUAUGUGGUUUAAUUCGAUGCAACGCGAAGAACCUUACCUGGUCUUGACAUCCACGGAACUUUCUAGAGA